UGUAUGAUGAAGGUCUUCGGAUUGUAAAGUACUGUCUUUAGGGAAGAACGGUCUUUUCAGGAAUAUGGAGGAGACAUGACGGUACCUAAGGAGGAAGCCCCGGCUAACUACGUGCCAGCAGCCGCGGUAAUACGUAGGGGGCGAGCGUUGUCCGGAAUUAUUGGGCGUAAAGGGCGCGUAGGCGGGUAUUUAAGUCCGGUGUGAAAGAUCAGGGCUCAACCCUGAGAGUGCAUCGGAAACUGGGUAUCUUGAGGACAGGAGAGGAAAGUGGAAUUCCACGUGUAGCGGUGAAAUGCGUAGAUAUGUGGAGGAACACCAGUGGCGAAGGCGACUUUCUGGACUGUAACUGACGCUGAGGCGCGAAAGCGUGGGGAGCAAACAGGAUUAGAUACCCUGGUAGUCCACGCCGUAAACGAUGAGUGCUAGGUGUAGGGGGUAUCGACCCCUCCUGUGCCGGAGUUAACACAAUAAGCACUCCGCCUGGGGAGUACGGGCCGCAAGGUUGAAACUCAAAGGAAUUGACGGGGGCCCGCACAAGCGGUGGAGCAUGUGGUUUAAUUCGACGCAACGCGAAGAACCUUACCAGGGCUUGACAUCCUCUGAACCCUAAGGAAACUUGG
rnacentral:rRNA from 1 species